GCCGUGGCCUACUGGUUAGCGCUUCGGACUUGUAACCGGAGGGUUGCUGGUUCGAACCCCGUCCAGUAGGCA
rnacentral:tRNA from 1 species